rnacentral:rRNA from 1 species
GACGAACGCUGGCGGCGUGCUUAACACAUGCAAGUCGAGCGGUAAGGCCUUUCGGGGUACACGAGCGGCGUACGGGUUGGUAACACGCGGGUGAUUUGCCCUGCACUUCGGGAUAAGCAUGGGAAAAUCGGUUUAAUACCGGAUAUGACCUCCUAUCGCAUGGUGGGUGAUGGAAAGUUUUAUCUGUGCAGGGUUGGCCUGCGGCCUAUCAGCUUGGUGGUUGGGUAAUGGCCUACCAAGGCGACGAGGGGUAGCCGACCUGAGAGGAUGACCGGCCACACUGGGACGGGAACGCGGCACGGACCCGUACGCGACGCAACAGUGGGGAAGAGUGCACAAGGGACUAAGGCCUAAUGCAGCCACGCCGCGUGAGGGAUGUCGUCCAUGGGGUUGGGUACCUCAGUCAGCAGAGACGAAGCGAAAGUGACGGUACCUGCAGAAGAAGCACCGGCUAACUACGUG